rnacentral:lncRNA from 1 species
UGUUGUUACUAUAAAGUCUAUGUAAUAAUGUUAUUAUAAAGGGCUCUGGAAUGUUGUGACAUAAAGGCACUGUUAUGUUGUCACUAUAAAGGUACGGUAAUGUUGUCACUAUAAAGGGCUCCGUAAUGUUGUUACUAUAAAGUCUCUGUAAUGUUGUCACCAUAUAUUCUCUGUAAUGUUGUCACUAUAAAGGCUCUAUAAUGUUGUCACCAUAUAUUCUCUGUAAUGUUGUUACUAUAAAGUCUCUGUAAUGUUGUUACUAUAAAGGACUCUGUAAUAAUGUUACUAUAAAGGACUCUGUAAUGUUGUUACUAUAAAGGACUCUGUAAUGUUGUUACUAUAAAUUCUCUGUAAUGUUGUUACUAUAAAGUCUCUGUAAUGUUGUUACUAUAAAGUCAAUUAAAUAAUGUUACUAUAAAGGCUCUGUAAUGUUGAGACUAUAAAGGGCUCUGUAAUAUUGAGACAAUAAAGUCUCUGUAAUGUUGUUACUAUAAAGAGGUUUGUAAUGUUGUUACAAUAAAGGCUCUGUAAUGUUGUUACUUACUAUAAAGGCUCUGUAAUGUUGUUACUUACUAUAAAUGCUCUGUAAUGUUGUUACUUACUAUAAAGGCUCUGUAAUGUUGUUACAUAAAGGCUCUGUAAUGUUGUUAUUAUAAAGUCUCUGUAAUGUUGGUACUAUGAAGGCUCUGGAAUGUUGUGAGUAUAAAGGUCUCUGUAAUGUUGUUACUUACUAUAAAAGGCUCUGUAAUGUUGUUACUAUAAAGGACUCUGUAAUAAUGUUACUAUAAAGUCUCUGUAAUGUUGUUACUAUAAAGGACUCUGUAAUAAUCUUACUAUAAAGGGCUCUGUAAUGUUGUUACUAUAAAGGACUCUGUAAUAAUGUUACUAUAAAGGCUCUGUAAUAAUGUUACUAUAAAGGCUCUGUGGUGCUCCUAUAUUAUAAAGGCUGACGCAUAGAGACACUGCAACCUUGGGAUGUCUCUCUCUCUAUGCAGUAAACCUAUACACUACAGGUAGAUCCUGCAGUCACAUUACAGCUUACAGCUUUGUUCAAACACACAUGUGCACAAGAACUCAAGCAUAAA